GAAACCGUUGCCGCCUCGCUUUCUCUCUCUUUCGCGCUAGAAAGUUCCCUCUUUGAAGUCAAUCUUAGACUGGUGUUUGUUGGCGAUCUAUUCUCGUAGCUUUGAUUAUUCAAACGAAAAUGGGUAGAAAGUUCUUCGUCGGCGGCAACUGGAAAUGCAAUGGAACGAUUGAGGAAGUGAAGAAGAUUGUUACCAUUUUAAAUGAAGCUGAAGUUCCUUCUGAAGAUGUUGUGGAGGUUGUGAUUAGCCCUCCAUUUGUGUUUCUUCCUAUUGUAAAGAGUUUAUUGCGGUCUGAUUUCCUGAUUGCCGCACAAAACUGUUGGGUUCAGAAUGGGGGUGCUUUUACUGGUGAGGUUAGUGCUGAUAUGCUUGUCAAUUUGGGCAUUCCUUGGGUCAUUCUUGGCCAUUCUGAGAGACGACUUAUAUUAAAUGAAUCGAAUGAGUUCGUUGGAGAUAAAGUUGCAUAUGCACUUUCAAAAGGCUUGAAAGUAAUUGCUUGUGUUGGGGAGACCAUUGAGCAGCGGGAAUCAGGGUCUACAAUGUCUGUAGUUGCUGCGCAAACAAAUGCAAUCGCAGAUAAACAUCACACUGGUCUAAUGUUGUUAUUGCUUACGAACCGGUCUGGGCCAUUGGAACCGGAAAGCAAAAGAGUUCUAUCACCAACUUGCUUCGAAUGAGUACAUAGCAACAGAUGUGUGUCUGAAUCUGUUAUACAUCACGUUUCACCAUGGCAAGUGUCAACUAGGCUACUAGAUGGGCCAUUACCUAGCUUUGCUUGUGCAAUUUGACACCUACAAGUAAAAAAACUUCAGGCUAGGAACAAGGAACCUUCCUCUAUACUGUUUACCAAUGUACUGAGGUCCAUUUUGAAUUGAGGAAUUGGCUUCAAGAAAAUGUUGGUGCUGAAGUUGCUGCAUCAACCCGAAUUAUCUAUGGGGGUAUUUCUCCAUUUUUGCCAUCAAUUUGUUUAUCCAAUGCUUGUUUCUGUUCUUUUGCUUUUUUAUCUAUGCUAUUAUAUAAUGUCAACACCCCAAUUAGGGGUGAACAUUUUUUUUAAGCUUUGUCACAUGUUUUACAUGCCUAAACUACUCACAGGAAUAACGUGUUGUUCCUUCUCUUCUUUUUAUGAUAAAUGUAAAGCAGUAAAAUGUCUUUUUGAAAAAAACCAAUUCACACACAAUCGGAACAGUACACAACUAUUGAUUAGGUUAUGAAACUCUCAUUUUUUCUCUCUAUUUUGUUGGUAAAAUUGUAUAGCAUUUUAGUUUUAGAAGAAUUUAAAUAGUGAAUAACUGUAGAAUGAGGGAGUUAGUGGGAGAAUAGGGAUAAUUUAGUUAUAGUAAAAUGCAUACACUAGUGUCUGGGGGCACUUCUAGUAUAUACUAAAUGUAAACUAGCAAUUUUAUAUCAUCUAUUUUGGAGCAAGUUAAUUUACUAAUGGAAGGCCUUUUUCAAUAUCAAGAUGUUAGGAAAUAAGGUUGCAUAAGUCUUCCACCAAUCACGGAAAUAUGUUAAAGCACCUCCAACAGGCUAAGCUAGGCUGGGCUAACCUCCGUCUGAUUCAGCUUUCCAUCAAGGUAGCCAUUUUACCUCACCCCAUUCUCGCUCGCUACAUUUACUAAGGUUUUUUAAGGCUCUCUAAAAUGUACAGAAUUUGCCAAUGGCAAUAUUAAACUUGCGCUUCACCACUAUCUUCUCAAGAAUUCUUUUAUUGCUCACUAAAUCCCACUCUCGUUUCCUAUCACUUCGCCACACCAUCAUGCCAUGUUAGUUUACCUACUUUUUUAGGAUAUGGCAUGCCAUGUCAGGAUGUUGGUGUGGCAUCGCCACACACAUCAAUAUUCAUGUUAAUUUGUGCACAAAUACCAAAUUUUGAUUUUUUGCCAAGUAGCAUUUAUCUUUUUUAAAAUCUAGUUGUUAGUUCCAAUAGCUAGCUUAGAGAUCUGUUGGAGUACCUACAUGAUGAAAAAGUGGCUCUCUAUUUUAUAGUGUACUUUUGUAGCUAGCAGUGUUGGAGAUGCUCUUCCAUCUGUUGGCAUGAUUCAUGGUAGAAGUUCAUAACUGCCUUAUGAAUUGGUAGUAACUGUUGUUUUACCAUAAUGAUGCAACUUAGAGCCAAACCAUCCUGCCUUGGUGGUAGUGCUACAAACGAGCCGAGUCGAGCCGAUUUUUAUUGAGCUCGAGCUUGUUUAUUGAGCUUGAGUUGGGUUGAUAAGUAACUGGGCUCGAGCUCGGCUCGGCUUGGCUCGGCUCGUUAAUAUUAAUGAAACUUGAGUUGAGCUCUGUUCUGCUCGAUAAGAUUUUUUUUAACAUUAUUUAUAUUAUUUAAAUAAAAAAUAUUAUUUUUAUAUAUUUAUAUCUUAUUUAAUAUAUAAAUAAUAUAUUUAUUAUAUAAUUUAAAUAAAGAUAAACGGGUUGAGAUUAUUCGAGCUCGAGCUCGGCUCGUUUACUAAAUGAGCCGAGUCAAACUUGUUCAUGAACAACUCGGUUCAUUUGCAGCUCUACUAGGUGGCAAAAACAUUCAGAGGAAUUUAUUGUCUUUCAUUUAUUUCCUUAUUCAUUUAUAUUGUUUGAGGAACCAUCCCUCAGUGGGUGGUUGUUUAUAUAUGGGUUUAUGCUCUUGUUAUUGAGUCAAACAUGCAGAAAACUAAUUUGGUGGGGUGCAACUCCUUUAACUUGUUCAUGAAGGCACACUUCUUUUUUCUUCUUUUUUUCAUGGCUAAAUUAAUGGUCCUAAGAAACCAAUACAAAUCUAGUCAAUGUAAAUUGAGUUGAUUAGGAUUAGAUUUGCUUUUCGAAUGUGUAGUCUUCAUAAACAUGUUGCUCAGCCUGAAAGAAACCCUUUCGUGUGUGCACUAACAAUGGUUUGAUUCUUGGGGUUAGGAUGGUUCACUCUGGAACAUGCUUAAAAUUGAGUUGAGUUUAGUUGGUUUUUGAUAUUGAUAGUUGAAGCCUGGACUAUGGUCCUGUGAUAACAGUACUCAUCCAGGUUGAAUCGGGUUUGGUUUAUUGGGUGUCAGCUAAGUGAUGGAAGUUCCCAUCCAUAAAUUAAGGAUCCCAGACAUUAGGGUUCAGCGGGCAGUAUGUAUGCAAUAAUAAGUUGGCUAAUUCCACUGCCCUCCACAAUUCAAAAAACGAAGAAAGUGGUCUCUCUCUCUCUCUCUCUCUCUCUCUCGUGUUAAUCAUGUUAAUGUUCAGGUUCUGUGAAUGGAGCAAAUUGCAAGGAACUUGCUGCACAGCCAGAUGUGGAUGGAUUCUUGGUUUUUUUGUUUUAGAAGAUUCUCCUUGUCCCACUAGGUCUUGGAUUAACCAUUGUCGAAGGACUUUUAAAUCGCUCCAAUUCAUUAAACGAGGUUGUAUUUCCGUGUCAAAUAGUCUUGGUUCAAAGAUUUCAACGAUUUUAUUAUCGUUUGAUUUUGUUUUUGUUUCAGGAAAUUUGGUUAAUUCGUGAAUUGUUUUCCAACGAAUAGCCAAAUCAUGAGAAUUUGCUUGCAUUCCUAAUCCUUGUGCUUUAAUUCUUAUUCUAACUGUAUCUUCAAGAUUAGGAUCAUUUAUGGAAAUAAAGAAAUUUGGUCUAACAUUAAACCAAACUACUCCAUUAG